CAGUAGCCGCGGUAAAACGAAGGGUGCAAGCGUUACUCGGAAUUACUGGGCGUAAAGCGUGCGUAGGUGGUGGUUUAAGUCCGUUGUGAAAGCCCUGGGCUCAACCUGGGAAUUGCAGUGGAUACUGGGUCACUAGAGUGUGGUAGAGGAUAGUGGAAUUUCCGGUGUAGCAGUGAAAUGCGUAGAGAUCGGAAGGAACAUCUGUGGCGAAGGCGACUAUCUGGGCCAACACUGACACUGAGGCACGAAAGCGUAGGGAGCAAACAGGAUUAGAUACCCGCGUAGUCCCUGUCUCUUAUAC
rnacentral:rRNA from 1 species